rnacentral:Y_RNA from 1 species
GGCUGGUCAGAAGGUAGUGAGUUAUCUCACCUGAUCACAGUCAGUUACAGAUUGAACUCCUCGUUCUACUACUUUCCCCCUUCUCACUACUACAAUUGACUAGUCACAC